AUCGCUUCUCGGCCUUUUGGCUCAGAUCAAGUGUAGUAUCUGUUCUUAUCAGUUUAAUAUCUGAUACGUCCCCCAUUCGGGGGA
rnacentral:snRNA from 8 species